AAAAACAUACACCAAUUUCAAUAAAUACGGCAUUCAGAGUUGGGCUGCUGUUGCUGGGUUUUAGUAAACGGAGAAAAAAAGCCUAGGAGACUAAAAGAGGAGGAAAGGAGGGCAGAAGAGAAAGGGCAGUGGCUACAAGAGAGGAGCGGAGGAAUCCAACCGCGGCCUCCCCAGAGAAGCGCGUUCUCCCCACCACGCCAGCCCCGAACCUUGAAGAACAACCUAGAGUUAACGAGGGGAGGGGCCGCCCCCAGGGGUCACUGCCGUUUGGGCUCCGGAAUCCGCUUGCCCCGGGCAGGUGUCUGCGGAUGAGGGGGGUGCAGCGGCCUUCGAUGCCCUAACCUGUCGAGCAGCGGAGUGUGGAUGUGCAGGUGCUUCACGGCUACCUGAAUGCGCCAGUCCGAGUGGCGUGCCGACGACACAGUGCCCGAGGCGCCGCGGCUCAGAAACCAACCUUCUAGGAAAUGUUUUUGCAAAUGGCUUCUCAUCAAGGAAUGUGGUCCAUGUUUUCUGGCCCAAGGAAUGAUUCCUGAGAGCAUCGUCUGUUACUGGAGACAAGUGUCCAGGACUGAGACAUAUGGGAUUCCAUUGAAGCAUGUGAAAGGACUACAGGAAGGUUCUUGGCCAUGCCACGAGAACGAAUUCAAGGACACAGCACAGCAUAGAGGAAGCAGGCAGAAAAUUUAUUAAGAAAGUAUAUGAGACAACAUGCCGGCACUUGCAAAGAAGAGAGGG